rnacentral:rRNA from 1 species
UGUCGUCAGCUCGUGUUGUGAAAUGUUGGGUUAAGUCCCGCAACGAGCGCAACCCUUAUCCUUUGUUGCCAGCGGUCCGGCCGGGAACUCAAAGGAGACUGCCAGUGAUAAACUGGAGGAAGGUGGGGAUGACGUCAAGUCAUCAUGGCCCUUACGACCAGGGCUACACACGUGCUACAAUGGCGCAUACAAAGAGAAGCGACCUCGCGAGAGCAAGCGGACCUCAUAAAGUGCGUCGUAGUCCGGAUUGGAGUCUGCAACUCGACUCCAUGAAGUCGGAAUCGCUAGUAAUCGUGGAUCAGAAUGCCACGGUGAAUACGUUCCCGGGCCUUGUACACACCGCCCGUCACACCAUGGGAGUGGGUUGCAAAAGAAGUAGGUAGCUUAACCUUCGGGAGGGCGCU